rnacentral:rRNA from 1 species
CCUACGGUAGGCAGCAGUGAGGAAUAUUGGUCAAUGGACGGAAGUCUGACCCAGCCAUUCCGCGUGCAGGAAGACGGCUCUAUGAGUUGUAAACUGCUUUUGUACAAGGGUAAACCUGAAUACGUGUAUUCAGCUGAACGUACUGUACGAAUAAGGAUCGGCUAACUCCGUGCCAGCAGCCGCGGUAAUACGGAGGCUCCAAGCGUUAUCCGGAUGUAUUGGGUUUAAAGGGUGCGUAGGCGGAUGGAUAAGUUAGAGGUGAAAUGUCCAGGCUUAACUCGUGAACUGCAUCUAAGACUGUUGAUCUAGAGAGUAGAUGCGGUAGGCGGAAUGUAUGGUGUAGCGGUGAAAUGCUUAGAGAUCAGACAGAACACCGAUUGCGAAGGCAGCUUACCAAUCUAUAUCUGACGUUGAGGCACGAAAGCGUGGGGAGCAAACAGGAUUAGAUACCCCAGUAGUC